CGAAGGGGGCUAGCGUUGCUCGGAAUUACUGGGCGUAAAGGGCGCGUAGGCGGAUAGUUUAGUCAGAGGUGAAAGCCCAGGGCUCAACCUUGGGAUUGCCUUUGAUACUGGCUGUCUUGAGUUCGGGAGAGGUGAGUGGAAUGCCGAGUGUAGAGGUGAAAUUCGUAGAUAUUCGGCGGAACACCAGUGGCGAAGGCGACUCACUGGCCCGAUACUGACGCUGAGGCGCGAAAGCGUGGGGAGCAAACAGGAUUAGAUACCCUGGUAGUCCACGCUGUAAACGAUGAGUGCUAGUUGUCGGCAUGCGUGCAUGUCGGUGACGCAGCUAACGCAUUAAGCACUCCGCCUGGGGAGUACGGUCGCAAGAUUA
rnacentral:rRNA from 1 species